GCUUAGAGUUUGAUCCUGGCUCAGGAUGAACGCUGGCGGUAUGCUUAACACAUGCAAGUCGAACGGAGUACUUCGGUACUUAGUGGCGGACGGGUGAGUAACGCGUGAGAAUCUGCCUUCAGGAUGGGGAUAACAGUGGGAAACCAUUGCUAAUACCCAAUGAGCCGAGAGGUAAAAAAUUUAUUGCCUGAAGAGGAGCUCGCGUCCGAUUAGUUAGUUGGUGGGGUAAAGGCUUACCAAGACGGCGAUCGGUAGCUGGUCUGAGAGGAUGAGCAGCCACACUGGGACUGAGACACGGCCCAGACUCCUACGGGAGGCAGCAGUGGGGAAUUUUCCGCAAUGGGCGCAAGCCUGACGGAGCAAUACCGCGUGAGGGAGGAAGGCCUUUGGGUUGUAAACCUCUUUUCUUAAGGAAGAAGAUCUGACGGUACUUAAGGAAUCAGCAUCGGCUAACUCCGUGCCAGCAGCCGCGGUAAUACGGAGGAUGCAAGCGUUAUCCGGAAUUAUUGGGCGUAAAGCGUCCGCAGGCGGCACUAUAAGUCUGCUGUCAAAGACCGCAGCCCAACUGCGGAAAGGCAGUGGAAACUGUAGAGCUAGAGUACGGUAGGGGUAGAGGGAAUUCCCAGUGUAGCGGUGGAAUGCGUAGAGAUUGGGAAGAACACCAGUGGCGAAAGCGCUCUACUGGGCCGUAACUGACGCUCAGGGACGAAAGCUAGGGGAGCGAAAGGGAUUAGAUACCCCUGUAGUC
rnacentral:rRNA from 1 species